rnacentral:rRNA from 1 species
UGAAGCUUGCUUUUGAUGGGCGUCGACCGGCGCACGGGUGAGUAACGCGUAUCCAUUCUGGCCACCACUUGGGGAUAACCUUGCGAAAGUAAGACUAUUACCCAAUGAUAUCUCUAGAAGACAUCUGAAAGAGAUUAAAGAUUUAUCGGUGAUGGAUGGGGAUGCGUCUGAUUAGCUUGUUGGCGGGGUAACGGCCCACCAAGGCAACGAUCAGUAGGGGUUCUGAGAGGAAGGUCCCCCACAUUGGAACUGAGACACGGUCCAAACUCCUACGGGAGGCAGCAGUGAGGAAUAUUGGUCAAUGGACGAGAGUCUGAACCAGCCAAGUAGCGUGCAGGAUGACGGCCCUAUGGGUUGUAAACUGCUUUUAUAAGGGAAUAAAGUGAGUCUCGUGAGACUUUUUGCAUGUACCUUAUGAAUAAGGACCGGCUAAUUCCGUGCCAGCAGCCGCGGUAAUACGGAAGGUCCGGGCGUUAUCCGGAUUUAUUGGGUUUAAAGGGAGCGUAGGCCGGAGAUUAAGCGUGUUGUGAAAUGUAGACGCUCAACGUCUGCACUGCAGCGCGAACUGGUUUCCUUGAGUACGCACAAAGUGGGCGGAAUUCGUGGUGUAGCGGUGAAAUGCUUAGAUAUCACGAAGAACUCCGAUUG